UACGGGGGGGGCAAGCGUUGUUCGGAAUUACUGGGCGUAAAGGGCUCGUAGGCGGCCAACUAAGUCAUACGUGAAAUCCCUCGGCUUAACCGGGGAACUGCGUCUGAUACUGGAUGGCUUGAGAUUGGGAGAGGGAUGCGGAAUUCCAGGUGUAGCGGUGAAAUGCGUAGAUAUCUGGAGGAACACCGGUGGCGAAGGCAGGUCUCUGGGCCACUACUGACGCUGAGAAGCGAAAGCAUGGGGAGCGAACAGG
rnacentral:rRNA from 1 species